GACGAACGCUGGCGGCGUGCUUAACACAUGCAAGUCGAACGGAAAGGCCCUGCUUUUGUGGGGUGCUCGAGUGGCGAACGGGUGAGUAACACGUGAGUAACCUGCCCUUGACUUUGGGAUAACUUCAGGAAACUGGGGCUCAUACCGGAUAGGAGCUCCUGCUGCAUGGUGGGGGUUGGAAAGUUUCGGCGGUUGGGGAUGGACUCGCGGCUUAUCAGCUUGUUGGUGGGGUAGUGGCUUACCAGGGCUUUGACGGGUAGCCGGCCUGAGAGGGUGACCGGCGACAUUGGGACUGAGAGACGGACCAGACUCCUACGGGAGGCAGCAGUGGGGAGUAUUGCGGAAUGGGCGGAAGUCUGAUGCAGAAACGCCGCGUGCGGGAUGACGGCCUUCGGGGUGUAAACCGCUUUCGCCUGUGACGAAGCGUGAGUGACGGUAAUGGGUAAAGAAGCACCGGCUAACUACGUG
rnacentral:rRNA from 1 species